UUAAUAUGGAUUAUUAUAAACUAUGAUCAGAGUAUAUGAUGGGUUUUGAUGUGAAAGUUUGACUAACUUAUUCAACAACGAUGUUGAAAUGAGAAAGAUCUUUAGUUUUGAGACUGCGUUCAGCGGAGAUUGGACAAGACUCAAGAGACGAGACUUCAUCAUCAUCUCAUAUUCCGAAAUUAACUUUUUGUGAAAAAAUAUUUAUCGAUCGACCUUCACCUAAAGUUCCGGUCCAUUUGAUCCAAUCAAAAAAUAUCAAAUUAAUUAAGGCAUGAUUCCUUGUCAUCGAGCACAAUUCUUAUAUUUUUUUUUUUUGAAACAGGCUUUACAAUUCUUAUAUUAAUUAACUGUAUUUUGGUUUGUAUUGCUUAAUUGCUUCGCUA
rnacentral:lncRNA from 1 species